GGACUGAGGAUCGGCGCUGAAUAUUGGCAUUCUGCAGGCAUCGGUCGCACUUUUGGAUGAAGUCUGCUGCAUCUUUUUGAAGUGUAAGUGAUGAGAAUACAAAAUGUCAUAUUUUUCUUUCUUAAUGUUUAGUCUUGUAUACUUAUUUUAUGCCUAAAUGUACUCAUUAUUCUUAUAUUUUAAUUUAGGAUGCAAAUGGAAGCGUUAAGUACAAAACGAAGCUAAUUGGGUGAUUUUGGACAGUUUCGACAUUGCUUCGUAAUCUGAGCAUAACGUUUUCAUCCGAGCUCUGAUUGAGAUGAUUCAAGAUGCUGUGGAAUGCCAAGAAAACGCUCUACAACUUUUAUGUUUGAGUUUUGAUAGAUAAUGGCUUUAUCAAGGUCAAAAUUGGUCUCGAAGUUGCUGCACGUCCUUAGCCUGCAAUACGUGGAUUUGACUCGGUCAAUUUUCAGAAA
rnacentral:lncRNA from 1 species